rnacentral:tRNA from 1 species
GAGGGUAUAGCUCAAAUGGUAAAGCACAUGCUUAGCAUGCAUGAGGUCCUGGGUUCAAUCCCCAGUACCUCCU